AAACGGAUGCUCCGGAUGGGAGCUCUAGCGGGCAUGGGAGCCAUUGGAGACAGUGCGGGGACUAGAUUCCAAACCUCCUGGCUGCGUGCCUGCUAUGAACCAAACAGUGCUUCUUGCGGUGCGGGGCAUGCAUGUGGAGGUCAGAGACAACUUGUGGGCGUUGGUUCUUUCCUUCUACCAUGAGGGUUCCAGGAAUCAAAACGACUUCAAGGAUCUCAAGUAACCAAGCCAUAUAUUGGUAAAAUAUAAAUAUUCUUAGACUCAGGCUUUGUUCUAAGGAGAGAACAGUAAUUCACCACAUGGUACAACUGGUGACAAUGAGACCGAGACGUUGUCAGCUGGUGUCCUGGCAUGGACAAGUACUGAGAUGCGUCCACUGAGUGACAGGAUGGCCCCGGCAGCUUGCACGGAGCAUCUGAGCCUGUGUGGCAGGUGAGGCGGGUGGCCCUUCAGAGCACACGGGGGAUGACAGUGAAGGGUACAGCAGGGCUGCUGGCCUCCAGUUCCAAGGCUGUCAGGAAGCACUCGGUGGCUGCUGCGUCGUUACCCUGAGCUUGGAGGACCUCGCCCAGCCCGUUCCAGACCUCGUGGGCUGUGGAAUUCACCUGCACUGCAUCCCGGAGAAUCUUCUCAGCUAGACUGUAGCGGCCCAGCUGGUGAAGGACCAGAGCCUGCGGAGACAGACAGUCAGACACUCAAGGAGGGCCAAGUACCUAUGUGACCUGGGCUCGGAGUUAGGAAUGUACCUCCUACUCUUGGCACACAUGUUCUUGCCAACUCCUGAACUUAGGAGCAGCAGCUGAAGACACUGUUUGACCACAUGAAACUACUGAAAUCCAUCUUUCAACUACAAGCAGGGCAGUUGUAGAUUGAUGUGUGGCUCACUGCGUUCAGGGGGCUGUAGAAGUAGUAGGUGAGGUGGUAACUCUGGGCUGCGGUAAGACCCUGCCUCAAAAACAAAGCAAGUGACACUGCCACCCAAAUCAGAAUAACAACUACACCACCCCCAAAUCAGAAACCAAAUGAAAGGCAGUUUUAUAUGACUUAUCUGAAAAUGUCUCAAGAAUCAACAAACUGGAACGGUCCACAGUAACUCAGUAUGGCUGACCUGUCGUGUCCUAGCCGGCACCAGCCUGUAUGGGAGGGCAUCUAUCAUCUGUGGCAUCACUGGAUAUGACAUUUAAAAAAAUAAUUCC